UUUAUUGUGCAGUGACAAUAUCGGAACCAAUGAGGUUCGUCUGAGGUGCGAUUAUUACUAGUUGAAAAAUUUUUCUAUAGACAUACACAACGUACACCGUGUAACAACGACGUAGCUCAUGGUAAUUGUUCAAUGCAA